GAGCUUGUGGGCAUUUGUGUGUUAUUAAUUAAUUGUGCAGUAGAGCCGGUGUACCCACCUACCUAAUGACGAGAUGAUAGGUCCAAAAGCACCUAUAACCCAACAGGAGCUACUUAACAAGAUCAAGAGGAUAACCAAGUUGGAAGCAAAAAAGAAUUCCACCAACCUCAGGUGCAGCAGCAAGCAGCGCAAGUUCAAGAAAAUCAACAAGCAUCAGAAUUUCAGAGAAGGAUAAAA
rnacentral:lncRNA from 1 species